AGUGAACGCUGGCGGUAGGCCUAACACAUGCAAGUCGAACGGCAGCACAGUAAGAGCUUGCUCUUACGGGUAGCGAGUGGCGGACGGGUGAGGAAUACAUCGGAAUCUACUUUUUCGUGGGGGAUAACGUAGGGAAACUUACGCUAAUACCGCAUACGACCUACGGGUGAAAGCAGGGGAUCUUCGGACCUUGCGCGAUUGAAUGAGCCGAUGUCGGAUUAGCUAGUUGGCGGGGUAAAGGCCCACCACGGCGACGAUCCGUAGCUGGUCUGAGAGGAUGAUCAGCCACACUGGAACUGAGACACGGUCCAGACUCCUACGGGAGGCAGCAGUGGGGAAUAUUGGACAAUGGGCGCAAGCCUGAUCCAGCCAUACCGCGUGGGUGAAGAAGGCCUUCGGGUUGUAAAGCCCUUUUGUUGGGAAAGAAAAGCAGCAGGUUAAUACCCCGCUGUUCUGACGGUACCCAAAGAAUAAGCACCGGCUAACUUCGUG
rnacentral:rRNA from 1 species